rnacentral:rRNA from 1 species
UACGUAGGGCGCAAGCGUUGUCCGGAAUACUGGGCGUAAAGCGUGCGCAGGCGGUGAUGUAAGACAGGUGUGAAAUCCCCGGGCUUAACCUGGGAACUGCAUUUGUGACUGCAUCGCUGGAGUGCGGCAGAGGGGGAUGGAAUUCCGCGUGUAGCAGUGAAAUGCGUAGAUAUGCGGAGGAACACCGAUGGCGAAGGCAAUCCCCUGGGCCUGCACUGACGCUCAUGCACGAAAGCGUGGGGAGCAAACAGG